UACGUAGGGUGCGAGCGUUGUCCGGAAUUAUUGGGCGUAAAGGGCUCGUAGGCGGUUUGUCGCGUCGGGAGUGAAAUCCACUGGCUUAACUGGUGGCUUGCUUUCGAUACGGGCAGACUGGAGGUAUGCAGGGGAGAACGGAAUUCCUGGUGUAGUGGUGAAAUGCGUAGAUAUCGGGAGGAACACCAGUGGCGAAGGCGGCUUCCUGGCCUGUUCUUGACGCUGAGGCGCGAAAGCUAGGGGAGCAAACGGG
rnacentral:rRNA from 1 species